CAACAUCAACCGUGAUCACAACCGAUGCUUCACCUACAAUUGGGCAUGGAGAAUCCAUAUGUCUCUGCUAAAGCUGUGCAUGUGCUUCUUCGGCGCUUGUCGUGCGUUGUAAUUACUUACCACAUACCUGGAUCAACAGCGCGUUGACCACGCACCCAUCGCAUCUGGAAUCACAAUGAUGAGCUUGUGGGGCCUCUGGUCCCAGAAGGCAAUAGUUUCCGCUGACCCUAGUGGAAGCUACGAGCUCCAUCCCAACCGGUGAGUAUAAUGUAAAUAUGGCUAGAAAUCUAGACGUGUUAGGCGCCUGCUGGACUGGCGACAAGGCGUGUUUUUAGCCCCACCACUGACCACACACUACAGUUGGGUAGUUUCAGCUUGGGUAAGAGUCUUCUGCAAUGUAGAUAUUGCGUCAUGCGAUUACAUCGUUCUGGGAUUUUCUUCCUAGUGGUGAUGUCUUGCGAUUUUGAACCGCACGAAGCGGCCUUAAUGUUAUGAGCACAUAUGAGAUGCAGAAUUAUGAAUGAAUGGAGAGAGGAAAGGGGGAUUGAGGGAGAUUGCAUAUCGAUUUUGAAGAGUCAACGAUGAAUUGAUUUGGCUUGAUUCAUUCAUUUUUUGGGUGCCGUGAGGGCUUCGGCGGGAAAGCAGGAACAAUCAACUAACAAUCGUUAGACGAACCUGCACGUAGUAAUAAUAAAAUUAUUACAAGAGCCUCGGAUUAUCAUUAAUACUGAUUAUUUAUUUAUUUAUUUAUUUGUUUUUUUUUGCUAAUAUUCAAC
rnacentral:sRNA from 2 species